rnacentral:tRNA from 1 species
GCCUAUAUAGCUUAAAGGUAAAGCGAUCGCUUGAAGCGCGGUUUAUACGGGUUCAAGUCCCAUUGUAGGCA